rnacentral:misc_RNA from 1 species
GAUGAAGAACGUAGCGAAAUGCGAUAAGUAAUGUGAAUUGCAGAAUUCAGUGAAUCAUCGAAUCUUUGAACGCAUCUUGCGCUCCUUGGUAUUCCGAGGAGCAUGCCUGUUUGAGUGUCAUUAAAUUCUCAACCUUACUAGCUUUUGCGAAGUAAGGCUUGGAUGUGGGGGUUACUUUUGCUGGCUUCUAACGAGGUCGGCUCCCCUGAAAUGCAUUAGCGGUGCCCUUGUGGACCCCGACUAUCAGUGUGAUAAUUAUCUACGCUGUUAGGCGCCCACGCUUUAGUGCUGCUUCUAACCGUCCGGUUUCUGGACAACACAAAUGACAUUUCUGACCUCAAAUCAGGUAGGACUACCCGCUGAACUUAAGCAUAUCAAUAAGCGGAGGA